GCCUCCGCCUUGCCUCCCUCAAACUCUCUCAAUUUUUUUCCUUUUAUGUGAUACCAUAGCCGCUUUAUCCCCCAAAUCCUCUCUGAAUCUGGCUAUACGAUGGAAUCAUCUUAUUUGCUUGCUUUAUUUACACUAUACCCCGCUACUACUCACGCGUUCAUGGUGUUACUUAGUACUUGCCCUAUUGUGGCAAGUACUACCUUUCAAAAUCAAGCCUGAUUGAUUUCGAUUUUUGAAGAUUCAAAAGGUAUUUCGUUCAUAUAAACUCAAAAAGGGAUGAUCCUUGCCCUCCUUGUUUGAUUUGGAGCCGUUAGACCCUAACAAGAGGUUGAAAUUGAUUUGUUUCCCUUACUGACUCUAUCACUAAUUGCAUCCGAUUUUCUUUUCCUUAUUUGUGAUUGACUGACUUCUUUUCAUGAUUGUUAUUUAUUCAAACACUAUAUAGACCCCUCCCAAAUUUCCCCUUUGGAGAGACCUUAAUCGCUGCUUUCUCUUUCACUCACUUGUUCGAUUGUCCUCUAGUUCUCUGAAAUUAUUGUAUUUUUGACCGGUUGAAAGAUAAGGCCACAUCGAUUGAUUCAUUAACCUCCUCCGGUGCAAGCAUUGCUGGGAGCUCUCUCGAGGCUCUUGUGAACUCUGAAGCACCAGAUUUGAGGUUCUCACUGUUCUCUUUCGACUAUUUCUAUUUGAGCCAUUGCUAAAGCUCUAAUCUUUCUCAUCUCUUUGAUCGUUUACCUUGAAAUUUGUUAGGGUUCUUGACUCUCAAAAUUUCUAUUCCAUUUCAACUUCUAUGUGUUCUGUGUGCCAGUAAAAUCUGAUCUUUUAUGAACAAGCAUGAUUUAGUAUCCCCUGCAAUUUGAACUCUAAUAUUGUGCUAUUGUUGUACGCUUUGAUGUAAUUCUAUUGUUCUUAUAUUGUUUUGCAGUUCUAUGCUUCUCUAGUAUCAAGUCUGCCUAAGUCAAAGACCUCUAAGAUAAGCCUCGACACAUAUAGUUUAUUCUCAC
rnacentral:lncRNA from 1 species